UACGUAGGCAGCAAGCGUUGUUCGGAGUUACUGGGCGUAAAGGGUGCGUAGGCGGCUUUUUAAGUUUGGUGUGAAAUCUCCCGGCUCAACUGGGAGGGUGCGCCGAAUACUGAGAGGCUAGAGUGUGGGAGAGGAAAGUGGAAUUCCUGGUGUAGCGGUGAAAUGCGUAGAUAUCAGGAGGAACACCGGUGGUGUAAACGGCCUUCUGGACCAUGACUGACGCUGAGGCACGAAAGCGUGGGGAGCAAACAGG
rnacentral:rRNA from 1 species